rnacentral:RNase_P_RNA from 1 species
UGAGACCCCUUGAUGGCCGCGACACGCGUUCCCACGGAACACGGGUUGAGGAACUUCCGGGCUCCGCAGAGCACGAUGGCGGAUAACGUCCGCCCAGGGCGACCUGAGAGAUAGCGCAGCAGAGAACAGACCGCCCGGCCUCGGCCGGGUAAGGGUGAAACGGCGGUGUAAGAGACCACCGGGCUUCCGGCAACGGACAGCCGCAUGGCAAGCCUCAUCGGGAGCAAGGCCAAGCAGAGGACGUCAAGGGCUGCUCGCCCAUGUCCUCGGGUAGGCCGCUAGAGCCUGGCGGCGACGUCAGGUCGAGAUGGAUGGCCAUCCGUGCGUGAUCUUCGGAUGCGCACGACAGAACCCGGGGUAUAAGGGGUCUCAAUCA